CAUUGUCUUGCCAGCAGGCUCCCACCCUUAGUUUCCCAAACUGGAGUGGACACAGGUGUGUGUGCUGUUUACCCCCAAAGACGCCUGUCAGCCUUGCCUGUCACCGCACAGCUCUUCCCGCCUCCUCUUCCCGCCCCUGUGUGGAGGCUGCCCCCACUCCAGAGGGAAGGAGCGUCCAGCAGUGGCCAUCCACUUUAGCGUGGCCACAUCUGCUCUGCAGGAAUUGAGGAGGGGGCCUCUAGAGAGGACCAUCCAUCUCUGGGCAUGGAUUAAGGCAGGGGCUCACAGCAUCCAUUUCAGAUGAGGAAAUUGAGACCGACCGAGCACACCCAGAUUCGUUCAAGGGACCCCACCAACCAGAGCCUCUGUUAACCAGCCCCCGCUGGCCGUCGGGGGUCCCUUGCCCGGGUGAAAACGCAGAGUCCCGUUUGUGAUGACGCCCUGUUUGCCCGGGAGCCUCAGCCAGAUGGAAUAAAAUCAAGAAAACGUCUUCAAAGAGGGUCCGUGAGGAAAGAGGGACUGGAAACCCCUCAAGUUCUGGCCUGGAGCCAUAAUAGCCAUGGAGUGGGGCAGAAGUGGAGGAAACUGAGAAAGAUGCCAACUUAGCUAUCAGAACUGGGAGAUGGCAGGAGUCUUGAUGGCAUCUUGUGAAUUCCUGGAUCCAGCUAUUCCUGAAGCUAGAACUCCUUGAAUUUUAAAGCAUCCACCCCAAGAAACAACGGGAGGCGGAGUGGGAGCUUCGAGGAUGUCCAUUGCCGUGUUGUUUACAACAGCAGAGAACUGGAAAUCACCUGGAGGACCCUCUGGAGGACCUGGAGAGUGAUAAGAGACCUUUGCGGUGGAGUACUACACAACAAGGAAAAAGCACCCUUCACGAAUCACACAGACCCUGAUCAGGAGAAGACAGCACCAGGGAACUCAUGUACACCACGGCCGGUCUGGACAGGCCAGCUCACUGGUAGGGACAAAUGUCGGUGUUUCUUCCAGAUGCUGCUGAUGAGUGGCAGUAGGGCUGGGUGUCCAUUGGAAGCCCUGACGCUGCUGCCUCCUUGUGGGUUAACCUGGGAGCAGGGUCCCCACCUGCAGGGACAGUCUGCCCCAUCACUGGCCCCAGGUGGAUACCCUUAAACACCCUCAGACUGUCCCCGUCCCUGCUGCUGCCCAGGGGCCCCACCAGGACCUCUGCUGGACCCUGAGCCUUGCUGACUUGGAAAGUGGGGGGUCUCGUGCUGCCUGAAAGGUGCGGCCCCAUCGUCCACCUCCAGCCCUCAACACCAAGCCCCUGAGAGCUCUCCUGGUGCCCUGCUGGCCACACUGGGUGCACAGCCAAGGGAAGUCCACCACACCUCCCUGUCUUUAUUUGGCAUUCUGAUAUUUUGUUCCUCAUGGACGUUUUGUACUAAUUUAAAGAUUUUUCUUUAAUAUUUUUGAGUGUAGAUGGGCCGUUACCUUUAUUUUAUUUUCAUGGUGCUGAGGAUCAACCCAGGGCCCUCCACAUGCGAGGCGAGCACUCUGCCACUAGCCCCAGCCCCAGCCCCUCAAAGCCCUUAAAAUAUUAGACUAGUGCUUUUCUAAGUUGGUGGCCAAUGCGACCUCCAGCUCACCUCCCUGGGAUGCUCUGCUGAGCCAGAGCAUGACCAGGAGGG